AAUAAAACAACCGUUAGCGGUGGAUCACUCGGUUCGUGU
rnacentral:rRNA from 1 species